rnacentral:rRNA from 1 species
UGCAAGUCGAACGGGACUCUUCGGAGUUCAGUGGCGGACGGGUGAGUAACGCGUGAGAAUCUGCCUAGAGGAUGGGGACAACCACGGGAAACUGUGGCUAAUACCCAAUGAGCGGAGACGUUAAAGAUUUAUCGCCUCUAGAGGAGCUCGCGUCUGAUUAGCUAGUUGGUGGGGUAGAAGCCUACCAAGGCGACGAUCAGUAGCUGGUCUGAGAGGACAACCAGCCACACUGGGACUGAGACACGGCCCAGACUCCUACGGGAGGCAGCAGUGGGGAAUUUUCCGCAAUGGGCGAAAGCCUGACGGAGCAAUACCGCGUGAGGGAGGAAGGCUCUUGGGUCGUAAACCUCUUUUCUCAGGGAAGAAGAAAGUGACGGUACCUGAGGAAUCAGCCUCGGCUAACUCCGUGCCAGCAGCCGCGGUAAUACGGAGGAGGCAAGCGUUAUCCGGAAUUAUUGGGCGUAAAGCGUCCGUAGGUGGCUCUUCAAGUCUGCUGUCAAAGAGUGGGGCUUAACUCCAGAAAGGCAGUGGAAACUGAAAGGCUAGAGAGCCGUAGGGGUAGAGGGAAUUCCCGGUGUAGCGGUGAAAUGCGUAGAGAUCGGGAAGGACAUCGGUGGCGAAAGCGCUCUACUGGACGGUAUCUGACACUGAGGGACGAAAGCUAGGGGAGCGAAUGGGAUUAGAUACCCCAGUAGUCCUAGCCGUA